rnacentral:rRNA from 1 species
UGCAGUCGAACGGAACUUAUGAGUAGCAAUACAAGUGAUGUUUAGUGGCGAACGUGUGCGUAACACGUGGAUACAUUCCGGGAAGCGGGGGAUAGCCCAGGGAAACUUGGAUUAAUACCGCAUGUGAUCGAGAGAUCAAAGACGGGGACCGAAAGGCCUGUCACUUCCCGAUUGGUCCGCGGCCUAUCAGCUAGUUGGCGGGGUAAAAGCCCACCAAGGCUACGACGGGUAGCUGGUCUUAGAGGACGACCAGCCACACUGGAACUGAGACACGGUCCAGACACCUACGGGUGGCAGCAGUCGAGAAUCUUUCACAAUGGGGGCAACCCUGAUGGAGCGACGCCGCGUGGAGGAUAAGGUCUUCGGAUUGUAAACUCCUGUCAUGUGAGAACAAGGCUGCCGGGUUAAUAACCUUGCAGAUUGAUGGUACCACAAGAGGAAGAGACGGCUAACUCUGUGCCAGCAGCCGCGGUAAUACAGAGGUCUCAAGCGUUGUUCGGAAUCACUGGGCGUAAAGGGUGCGUAGGUGGCGUGGUAAGUCAGAUGUGAAAGCCCGGGGCUCAACCUCGGAAUUGCAUCCGAUACUGCCGUGCUAGAGUACUGAAGAGGUGACUAGAAUUCUCGGUGUAGCAGUGAAAUGCGUAGAUAUCGAGAGGAAUACCAACGGCGAAGGCAGGUCACUGGGCAGUUACUGACACUGAGGCACGAAGGCCAGGGGAGCAAACGGGAUUAGAUACCCCGGUAGUCCUGGCAGUAAACGGUGCACGUUUGGUGUGGGCGCAAUCGACCGCGUCCGCGCCGGAGCUAACGCGUUAAACGUGCCGCCUGGGAAGUACGGUCGCAAGAUUAAAACUCAAAGAAAUUGACGGGGACCCGCACAAGCGGUGGAGUAUGUGGCUUAAUUCGA